rnacentral:tRNA from 1 species
GUCUAGGGUAGCCUAGUGGGCAUAACAUCUGCCCAGUAAGCGGAGCACUGUGGGUUCGAUUCCCAUCCCUGGACA